UAGUCUCGCACAGAUGCAUAUCAAUAAGCGGAGGAAAAGAAACUAACAAGGAUUCCCCUAGUAACGGCGAGUGAAGCGGGAAGAGCUCAAAUUUGAAAUCUUAAAGGGUUUCCCUUUACGAAUUGUAGUUUAAAGAAGUGUUUUCUGUUGAGGUUUUGGUAAAAGUUCUUUGGAAUAGGACAUCAUAGAGGGUGAGAAUCCCGUAUUUGACCUUUACUUUCAACUUUGUGAUACACUUUCAAAGAGUCGGAUUGUUUGGGAAUGCAGUCCAAAAUGGGUGGUAAAUUUCAUCUAAAGCUAAAUAUUGGCGAGAGACCGAUAGCGAACAAGUACCGUGAGGGAAAGAUGAAAAGAACUUUGAAAAGAGAGUUAAACAGUACGUGAAAUUGUCAAAAGGGAAGCGUUUGACACCAGUGUUGUUUUUCUGAAAAUCAAUUAAAGAACUGUUUAUGCUAAGCUGUUUAGACUUUAUCAGCUAUCUGUUUAGUUUUGAGCUUUUCUUUAAUGCACUUUUCAGUUAACAAGUCAACAUCAAUUUCUUUUGCUGUAAAAAAGCUUGAGGAAGGUGGCUUGAGAUUCGUCUUAAGUGUUUAUAGCCUCUUGCCUAUGCAGUCGGAGAGAUUGAGGUCUGCAGCGUAGAUCCUUCGGGGCUAAAUGCAUUUGUGCUAAGUUAUAGCAUUUUAUAGACAACUUGUUGACUAUGAUUUGUCUUGUAGCUUACUCGCUUAUGUUAUUUUACCUACGCUUAGGAUGUUGAAGACUCUACAGAGAUA
rnacentral:rRNA from 1 species